AAAUGAAUUGACGGGGGCCCGCACAAGCGGAGGAACAUGUGGUUUAAUUCGAUGAUACGCGAGGAACCUUACCCGGGCUUGAAUUGCAUUUGAAUACAGUGGAAACAUUGUAGCCAGCAAUGGCAAAUGUGAAGGUGCUGCAUGGUUGUCGUCAGCUCGUGCCGUGAGGUGUCGGCUUAAGUGCCAUAACGAGCGCAACCCUCAUCACUAGUUACCAUCAGGUCAAGCUGGGGACUCUAGUGAGACUGCCGGCGUAAGCUGUGAGGAAGGUGGGGAUGACGUCAAAUCAGCACGGCCCUUACGUCCGGGGCGACAAACGUGUUACAAUGGGGGGUACAGCGGGUUGCUACCUGGUGACAGGAUGCUAAUCUUAAAAACCCUUCUCAGUUCGGAUCGGAGUCUGCAACUCGACUUCGUGAAGCUGGAUUCGCUAGUAAUCGCGCAUCAGCCAUGGCGCGGUGAAUACGUUCCCGGGCCUUGUACACACCGCCCGU
rnacentral:rRNA from 1 species